CCUACGGGCGGCAGCAGUGGGGAAUAUUGCACAAUGGGGGGAACCCUGAUGCAGCGACGCCGCGUGAGUGAAGAAGUAUUUCGGUAUGUAAAGCUCUAUCAGCAGGGAAGAAAAUGACGGUACCUGACUAAGAAGCCCCGGCUAACUACGUGCCAGCAGCCGCGGUAAUACGUAGGGGGCAAGCGUUAUCCGGAUUUACUGGGUGGAAAGGGAGCGCAGACGGCUGUGCAAGUCUGGAGUGAAAGGCGGGGGCCCAACCCCCGGACUGCUCUGGAAACUGUAAAGCUGGAGUGGAGGAGAGGGAAGGGGAAUUCCUAGGGGAGCGGUGAAAUGCGUAGAGAAUAGGAGGAACACCAGUGGCGAAGGCGGCUUACUGGACUGCAACUGACGUUGAGGCUCGAAAGCGUGGGGAGCAAACAGGAUUAGAUACCCCAGUAGUC
rnacentral:rRNA from 1 species